CUGAAAAGCAAGAUCAUCAGACUUGGU
rnacentral:misc_RNA from 1 species